rnacentral:rRNA from 1 species
GACGAAGGGUGCAGCGUUAUCCGGAUUUAUUGGGCGUAAAGAGCGCGUAGGCGGCCAGGUAGGUCCGACGUGAAAUCUCGAGGCUCAACCUCGAGCGGUCGUUGGAUACCGCCUGGCUAGAGUCCGGAAGAGGAGAGUGGAAUUCCUGGUGUAGCGGUGAAGUGCGCAGAUAUCAGGAAGAACACCCAUGGCGAAAGCAGCUCUCUGGGACGGUACUGACGCUGAGGCGCGAAAGCGUGGGGAGCGAACAGG